rnacentral:rRNA from 1 species
ACUCCUACGGGAGGCAGCAGUGGGGAAUAUUGGACAAUGGGCGCAAGCCUGAUCCAGCAAUGCCGCGUGUGUGAAGAAGGCCUGCGGGUUGUAAAGCACUUUCGGUUGGGAAGAAAAGCUCAAGGUUAAUAACCUUGGGACUUGACACUACCUUCAGAAGAAGCACCGGCUAACUCCGUGCCAGCAGCCGCGGUAAUACGGAGGGUGCGAGCGUUAAUCGGAAUUACUGGGCGUAAAGCGCGCGUAGGUGGCUGGGUAAGUCGGAUGUGAAAG